rnacentral:rRNA from 1 species
UACGUAGGGUGCAAGCGUUGUCCGGAAUUAUUGGGCGUAAAGAGCUCGUAGGCGGUUUGUCGCGUCUGCUGUGAAAACUCGGGGCUUAACUCCGGACUUGCAGUGGAUACGGGCAGACUAGAGUGUGGUAGGGGAGACUGGAAUUCCUGGUGUAGCGGUGAAAUGCGCAGAUAUCAGGAGGAACACCCGUGGCGAAGGCGGCUCUCUGGGACGGUACUGACGCUGAGGAGCGAAAGCGUGGGGAGCGAACAGG